UCCGGCUUAUCACCGGCAGUCCCAUUAGAGUGCCCAACUAAAUGAUGGCAACUAAUGGCGAGGGUUGCGCUCGUUGCGGGACUUACCCAACAUCUCACGACACGAGCUGACGACAGCCAUGCAGCACCUGUGCAGGAACUCCGAAGAGGGCGCCUGGUCUCUCAAGCGUUUCUCCUGCAUGUCAAGCCUAGGUAAGGUUCUUCGCGUUGCGUCGAAUUAAACCACAUGCUCCACCGCUUGUGCGGGCCCCCGUCAAUUCCUUUGAGUUUCAGCCUUGCGGCCGUACUCCCCAGGCGGGGCACUUACUGCGUUAGCGACGACACUCAGAAGGUCGCUCCCCCAAGCAUCUAGUGCCCAUCGUUUACGGCGUGGACUAC
rnacentral:misc_RNA from 1 species